AACGAACGCUGGCGGCAUGCCUAACACAUGCAAGUCGAACGAUGCCUUCGGGCAUAGUGGCGCACGGGUGCGUAACGCGUGGGAAUCUGCCUUUCGGUUCGGAAUAACUCCGGGAAACUUGAGCUAAUACCGGAUAACGUCGCAAGACCAAAGAUUUAUCACCGAAAGAUGAGCCCGCGUAGGAUUAGCUAGUUGGUGAGGUAAAGGCUCACCAAGGCGACGAUCCUUAGCUGGUCUGAGAGGAUGAUCAGCCACACUGGGACUGAGACACGGCCCAGACUCCUACGGGAGGCAGCAGUGGGGAAUAUUGGACAAUGGGCGAAAGCCUGAUCCAGCAAUGCCGCGUGAGUGAUGAAGGCCUUAGGGUUGUAAAGCUCUUUUACCCGGGAAGAUAAUGACGGUACCGGGAGAAUAAGCCCCGGCUAACUCCGUG
rnacentral:rRNA from 1 species